UGGGGAAUAUUGGACAAUGGGCGAAAGCCUGAUCCAGCCAUGCCGCGUGUGUGAAGAAGGUUUUCGGAUUGUAAAGCACUUUAAGUUGGGAGGAAGGGCAGUAAGCGAAUACCUUGCUGUUUUGACGUUACCGACAGAAUAAGCACCGGCUAACUCUGUGCCAGCAGCCGCGGUAAUACAGAGGGUGCAAGCGUUAAUCGGAAUUACUGGGCGUAAAGCGCGCGUAGGUGGUUCGUUAAGUUGAAUGUGAAAGCCCCGGGCUCAACCUGGGAACUGCAUCCAAAACAGGCGAGCUAGAGUAGGGCAGAGGGUGGUGGAAUUUCCUGUGUAGCGGUGAAAUGCGUAGAUAUAGGAAGGAACACCAGUGGCGAAGGCGACCACCUGGGCUCAUACAGACACUGAGGUGCGAAAGCGUGGGGAGCAAACAGA
rnacentral:rRNA from 1 species